CGUUCUAUGGUCAAAUUGUUAAAGGCAUCGGCCGAUCACAGGUGAGGUUGCGGGUUCGAGUCCCGCUGGAACGA
rnacentral:tRNA from 1 species